rnacentral:rRNA from 1 species
CCCGGUGACAGGUGCUGCAUGGCUGUCGUCAGCCCGUGUCGUGAGAUGUUGGGUUAAGUUCCGCAACGAGCGCAACCCUUGUCAUUAGUUGCCAUCAUUUAGUUGGGCACUCUAAUGAGACUGCCGGUGACAAACCGGAGGAAGGUGGGGAUGACGUCAAGUCCUCAUGGCCCUUAUGGUAGGGCUUCACACGUCAUACAAUGGUCGGUACAGAGGGUUGCCAAGCCGCGAGGUGGAGCCAAUCCCUUAAAGCCGAUCGUAGUCCGGAUCGUAGUCUGCAACUCGACUACGUGAAGUCGGAAUCGCUAGUAAUCGCAGAUCAGCAUGCUGCGGUGAAUACGUUCCCGGGUCUU